GCUGUCUCAAACCAAGCAAGUUUCAGAAUUGCAGGUGUUCUUGCUUCAAUAAAGAAAUACUGAGAGGGAGCUCAGUUUCUCUCAAUACAGAACAUGUACACGCAGGACGACGCGGCGGGCUUGAUCAGCUUAAGCUAUCCAUUCAUUGGCACGGACGAAUGCUACUUGCUAGUUAAUUAAGCAGUAUGUGUUGACAAUAAGCCAGUGGGCAAAGCAGCUAAUGGGCACCUCGCCAAUAUCUUUCUCACCUUCCCAGCUAAUGGCCAUCCUUCGUCUUCGCGGACUCUGCUAUCUAGCCUGCAGUGUUUACGCAAGCAGGGGGAGGGGCUGUAGCAGCUAUUAAUCAGAUCUGAAUUCUGAUCAGUUUACUCCAGUGAUCACCACCGAUUCAAAUGGACCUGUGGAGGGCUCCGAUGAUCUUCUAUUCUCUGUUUUCCUUGUAGCUUGCGCCCAGCCCUGCGAGAUCUUGAAAUUGGCAAUUGGCUCACCAUCAGGGCAAACCGUGUCCUCCAUAUGAUCA